rnacentral:rRNA from 1 species
UACGUAGGGUGCAAGCGUUAAUCGGAAUUACUGGGCGUAAAGCGUGCGCAGGCGGUUUUGUAAGACAGGCGUGAAAUCCCCGGGCUUAACCUGGGAACUGCAUUUGUGACUGCAAGGCUGGAGUGCAGCAGAGGGGGAUGGAAUUCCGCGUGUAGCAGUGAAAUGCGUAGAUAUGCGGAGGAACACCGAUGGCGAAGGCAAUCCCCUGGGCCUGCACUGACGCUCAUGCACGAAAGCGUGGGGAGCAAACAGG